rnacentral:rRNA from 1 species
CAGUCGCCGCGGUAAUACGUAGGGUGCAAGCGUUAAUCGGAAUCACUGGGCGUAAAGCGUGCGCAGGCGGUUUGUUAAGACAGAUGUGAAAUCCCCGGGCUCAACCUGGGAACUGCAUUUGUGACUGGCAAGCUAGAGUGUGGCAGAGGGGGGUGGAAUUCCGCGUGUAGCAGUGAAAUGCGUAGAUAUGCGGAGGAACACCGAUGGCGAAGGCAGCCCCCUGGGCCAACACUGACGCUCAUGCACGAAAGCGUGGGGAGCAAACAGGAUUAGAUACCCGCGUAGUCCCUGUCUCUUAUAC